GAUGAACGCUAGCGGCAGGCCUAACACAUGCAAGUCGAGCGGUAGAGGUCCUUUCGGGAUCUUGAGAGCGGCGCACGGGUGCGUAACGCGUAUGCAACCUACCCUCUACAGGGGAAUAGCCCGUCGAAAGGCGGAUUAAUGCCCCAUGGCUCCUUUGAGAGGCAUCUCUUAAGGGAUAAAGAUUCAUCGGUAGAGGAUGGGCAUGCGUGCCAUUAGCUUGAUGGUGGGGUAACGGCCCACCAUGGCUACGAUGGCUAGGGGUUCUGAGAGGAAGGCCCCCCACACUGGGACUGAGACACGGCCCAGACUCCUACGGGAGGCAGCAGUGAGGAAUAUUGGUCAAUGGGCGGAAGCCUGAACCAGCCAUGCCGCGUGCGGGAAGAAGGCGCUACGCGUCGUAAACCGCUUUUGUCCGGGGGUAACCGCGGGGACGUGUCCCCGCCUGCAAGUACCGGACGAAUAAGGGUCGGCUAACUCCGUGCCAGCAGCCGCGGUAAUACGGAGGACCCGAGCGUUAUCCGGAUUCAUUGGGUUUAAAGGGUGCGUAGGCGGCCCGGUCAGUCAGCGGUGAAAGGCUCCUGCUCCACAGGAGAGCUGCCGUUGAUACUGCUGGGCUAGAAUCUUAGCGAGGCGGGCGGAAUGCGCGGUGUAGCGGUGAAAUGCAUAGAUAUCGCGCAGAACGCCGAUUGGGGAGCCAGCUCGCCAGCUGAGUAUUGACGCUGAGGCACGAAAGCGUGGGGGUCAAACAGGAUUAGAUACCCUGGUAGUCCACGCCGUAAACGAUGAUAGCUCGCUCUUGGCCCGCAAGGGUCAGGGGCUUAGCGAAAGCGUUAAGCUAUCC
rnacentral:rRNA from 1 species